rnacentral:rRNA from 1 species
AUGGCUCCUUUGUUACGUCCAGCAAGUGCGACAGUACAGACUGUCAAUGAACUGAUUGACACAGAUAGUUGGACAUGGCGCAGGGAGCUUGUCAAAGAGAAUUUUAUCGCUCUAGAUGCGGCAGCAAUCUUGAAUAUUCCACUGCGACGGGGAGGCGGUGAAGAUUUUCUUGCGUGGGCACAUGAGAAGUCAGGCAUUUACUAUGUUAAAUCGGCGUAUCGAGCUCUAGUGAAUCAAAAAGAGUGUCUAGCUCUAGAUGAAGGGCAGAUUACCGGCACCUCAGCGAAUCAACAACAGAUGUGGAAUGCAACCUGGAAACUCAAAGUGACACCGAAAGUGAGGGUCUUCUGGUGGCGUGUGAUGAGGGGUAUUUUACCUGAUGAAAGUACAUUAAUACAUCGGCACAUAAGACAGAUCAACACUUGCAAAAUCUGUCUAGCUAUGGACGAGGACCUGGAACAUGCGUUGCUGCACUGCUCGCAUGCAAGGAGGUUCUGGGAGGAGAUAAGGCUAUUAUUUCAUGUUGAUCUACCUCGGCUUCAUCCUCAAACUUGGACAAAGGACAUCCUAUGUGAUCACCGGUUUUCUUCCAGGGAACGGGCGAUCUUCAUUACGGUGAUUGUUGGGGAACGUAAUAAUAAUUCAAAAUUUUCCUACGUGUUACCAAGAUGA